AAUUCGAUCACUCAGCCUGUGUUUAUGGAGCAUCUCUGCCAUGCAGUCCUCCUGUACUCUCUGACAAGGCUUGCCUAAACCAACGUGCUCUGUCUCUCCAGGUAUUAUUCGCUAGCUCUAAAUUCCCAGGUAACAGUUCCAAACUUCCCAGUAGUGGGAUGGAGGAUGGAUCAGAGAGGCGUGAGUGUUAAACAAAGGUCAGAGUCCAGGGCCAGUGAAGUUUAUCUUUCCUUGUGUUAUUUGCAUGGCAAAGGUUCAGGUACUAAAUUAACAAGAAGUUGCAAAGACCUUAAAAAAAAAAAAGGCAGGAGGCCAAGAAUAUUUCUUCCUCCUCUCUCUUCACGCCCUAGAAUAUAUCUUAAAACAAAUAGGCUUCUUCAUAUUUCUCUGGUGUUCAAAGGAGAUGUACAGUGAAGCCAGGAUUUCUGAAACAAUGUGCUUCCAGCCGAGCAUGGCAGCUCCUGGCCAUGGCCUCUCCUGCCCAGAGAGAUGGACCAAGGAUUAAGUCAGGAUGGGCUCAAUGAGAGCAUGAAAACAGGGGUCUCAUUACAGACCUGUGUGUUGGAUAUGACCCAGCAGGUCUCGGCCACGAA